rnacentral:rRNA from 1 species
CCUACGGGAGGCUGCAGUGAGGAAUAUUGGUCAAUGGGAGAGAUCCUGAACCAGCCAAGCCGCGUGAGGGAAGACGGCCCUAUGGGUUGUAAACCUCUUUUGUCGGAGAACAAAACCCGGGACGUGUCCCGGACUGCGUGUAUCCGAAGAAAAAGCAUCGGCUAACUCCGUGCCAGCAGCCGCGGUAAUACGGAGGAUGCGAGCGUUAUCCGGAUUUAUUGGGUUUAAAGGGUGCGUAGGCGGUCCGUUAAGUCAGCGGUAAAAUUGCGGGGCUCAACCCCGUCGAGCCGUUGAAACUGGCAGACUUGAGUUGGCGAGAAGAAGGCGGAAUGCGUGGUGUAGCGGUGAAAUGCAUAGAUAUCACGCAGAACCCCGAUUGCGAAGGCAGCCUUCCGGCGCCCUACUGACGCUGAGGCACGAAAGUGCGGGGAUCGAACAGGAUUAGAUACCCUGGUAGUC